CGGCCGCAGCGGCACGGGCCGGAGGCGAAGAGGGAGAGCCAGGCGAGGACGGGCGUGCCGAGGAGGACCAGCCCCGCGGGCACCAUCCAGAGCCGCGCGUGCGCCGGGUGGAACGCCAGCGCCCACCACACCAGCAGCGCCGCGCCGCCCAGGCCCACCGCCACCAGGCUCGCCGCCGUGGCGGCCACGGACGAGCAC
rnacentral:rRNA from 1 species